rnacentral:rRNA from 1 species
UACAGAGGUCUCAAGCGUUGUUCGGAUUCAUUGGGCGUAAAGGGUGCGUAGGUGGCGCGGUAAGUCGGGUGUGAAAUUUCGGAGCUUAACUCCGAAACUGCAUUCGAUACUGCCGUGCUUGAGGACUGGAGAGGAGACUGGAAAUUUACGGUGUAGCAGUGAAAUGCGUAGAGAUCAUGAGGAAGACCAGUGGCGAAGGCGGGUCUCGUGGACAGUUCCUGACGCUGAGGCACGAAGGUCAGGGGAGCAAACGGGG